rnacentral:rRNA from 1 species
CAGUCGAGAAUUUUUCUCAAUGGGGGAAACCCUGAAGGAGCGACGCCGCGUGGAGGAUGAAGGUCUUCGGAUUGUAAACUCCUGUCAUUUGGGAACAAUGUGCAGUCGUUAACUGCGAUUGCAUUGAUAGUACCAGAAGAGGAAGAGACGGCUAACUCUGUGCCAGCAGCCGCGGUAAUACAGAGGUCUCAAGCGUUGUUCGGAUUCAUUGGGCGUAAAGGGUGCGUAGGUGGCGCCAUAAGUCAGGUGUGAAAUCUCGGGGCUCAACCCCGAAACUGCACUUGAUACUGUGGUGCUCGAGUACUGGAGAGGAGAUUGGAAUUUACGGUGUAGCAGUGAAAUGCGUAGAUAUCGUAAGGAAGACCAGUGGCGAAGGCGAAUCUCUGGACAGUUACUGACACUGAGGCACGAAGGCCAGGGGAGCAAACGGGAUUAGA